AGGGUUUGGAUGUGUUGGGUGCAGGGUGGAGGUGUGUUGGGUAUAGGGUUUAGGAGUGUUGGGUGCAGGAACCAGGUAUGUUGGGUGCAGGGUUUGGGUGUGUUAGGUGCAGGGUUUUGGUUUGUAGAUUGUUUCCCCCCCUCAAAGAAUAUACCACCAGCCACCACUGGUGUUUACUGUACGUCACAGGUGAGUUGGGAUCAGGUUCUGUGUGUUGUAUGCAGGGUCUAGGUGUGUUGGGUGCAGGGCCCGGCAUGUUAGGCGCAGGGUCCAUGUGUAUUGGCUGCAGGGCUCUGAGGUGUUGGAUGCAGGGUCCAAGUGUGCAGGGUCCAGGUGUGUUAGGUGUAGGUCUCAGGUGUAUUGGGUGCAGGUUCUGUGUGUUGUAUGCAGGGUCCAGGUGUGUUAGGUGUAGGUUUCAGGUGUAUUGGGUGCAGGUUCUGUGUGUUGUAUGCAGGGUCCAGGUGUGUUAGGUGUAGGUUUCAGGUGUAUUGGGUGCAGGUUCUGUGUGUUGUAUGCAGGGUCUAGGUGUGUUGGGUGCAGGGCCCGGCAUGUUAGGCGCAGGGUCCAUGUGUAUUGGCUGCAGGGCUCCGAGGUGUUGGAUGCAGGGUCCAAGUGUGCAGGGUCCAGGUGUGUUAGGUGUAGGUCUCAGGUGUAUUGGGUGCAGGUUCUGUGUGUUGUAUGCAGGGUCCAGGUGUGUUAGGUGUAGGUUUCAGGUGUAUUGGGUGCAGGUUCUGUGUGUUGUAUGCAGGGUCCAGGUGUGUUAGGUGUAGGUCUCAGGUGUAUUGGGUGCAGGUUCUGUGUAUUGUAUGCAGGGUCCAGGUGUGUUAGGUGUAAGUCUCAGGUGUAUUGGGUGCAGGUUCUGUGUGUUGUAUGCAGGGUCCAGGUGUGUUAGGUGUAGGUCUCAGGUGUAUUGGGUGUAGGUUCUGUGUGUUGUAUGCAGGGUCCAGGUGUGUUAGGUGUAAGUCUCAGGUGUAUUGGGUGCAGGUUCUGUGUGUUGUAUGCAGGGUCCAGGUGUGUUAGGUGUAGGUCUCAGGUGUAUUGGGUGUAGGUUCUGUGUGUUGUAUUCAGGGUCCAGGUGUGUUAGAUGUAGGUCUCAGGUGUAUUGGGUGUAGGUGCUGUGUGUUGUAUGCAGGGUCCAGGUGUGUUAGGUGUAUGUCUCAGGUGUGUUGGGUGCAGGUUCUGUGUGUUGUAUGCAGGGUCCAGGUGUGUUAGGUGUAGGUCUCAGGUGUAUUGGGUGCAGGUUCUGUGUGUUGUAUGCAGGGUCUAGGUGUGUUGGGUGCAGGGCCCGGCAUGUUAGGCGCAGGGUCCAUGUGUAUUGGCUGCAGGGCUCCGAGGUGUUGGAUGCAGGGUCCAAGUGUGCAGGGUCCAGGUGUGUUAGGUGUAGGUCUCAGGUGUAUUGGGUGCAGGUUCUGUGUGUUGUAUGCAGGGUCCAGGUGUGUUAGGUGUAGGUCUCAGGUGUAUUGGGUGUAGGUUCUGUGUGUUGUAUUCAGGGUCCAGGUGUGUUAGAUGUAGGUCUCAGGUGUAUUGGGUGCAGGUUCUGUGUGUUGUAUGCAGGGUCCAGGUGUGUUAGGUGUAGGUCUCAGGUGUAUUGUGUGCAGGUUCUGUGUGUUGUGUGCAGGGUCCAGGUGUGUUAGGUGUAGGUCUCAGGUGUAUUGGGUGCAGGUUCUGUGUGUUGUAUGCAGGGUCCAGGUGUGUUAGGUGUAGGUCUCAGGUGUAUUGGGUGUAGGUUCUGUGUGUUGUAUGCAGGGUCCAGGUGUGUUAGGUGUAGGUCUCAGGUGUAUUGGGUGCAGGUUCCGUGUGUAAGGUUCAGGUGUGCUGGGAGCAGGUAUUGGAUACACUGCCCUGGUGUGUUGUGUGGAGGGCCCCAGUGUGUUGGGUGUAGAAGCAAGCCAGGUGUUCUGGGUGCAGAACCUGGGUGUGUUGGGUGCAGGACCUGGGCGUGUUGGGUGCAGGGUGUGCAGGACAGCUGUGGCAGUGUGUUGGUGUGUGCCGGGUGAGGUUGUGACGAGGCAUCUCAGGUAUGUCUGCGAGAACGAGCUCAUUUCAAUUAGAAGGCAAUAAAAUGCAAAUGUGCUCUUGAUAAGACAGGCAGAGGAACACCUGGCCAGCAAUCAAUAACAAGCAAUGUUUUAUUCACAGUUAUUAUCCAGCUUAUAAUUACAAGCCGUGACUGCAUUCCUGACAAGGGGGGGGGACAUUCCUCUCUUCUGCCACUGCUGAAAUAUUUUCCCGACCAACUCCUGCAAAAAGGUCCCUGCUACCCAACGCAGCAGCAGCCAAUCAGAUUACAGUAUAUGAAGGCACAUACAGUCACCUUCCUUCUACCAAUACAAUAGACCUGCCGUAGGGGAUGGAUGACCGAGUUGUAAAGCAGACUGCAGGAAAAAAAAAAAAA